rnacentral:lncRNA from 1 species
GCCAGUCCCAAAGCACAAAAGGGCAUUGAGAAGCUUCUCUCACUGGCUCGCUCGCUUGCACACUCACACACACACCCUUCACAGCACCCAGCAUUGGAUCUUUUGUUCCCUUCACUGGGAAAAGUCGCCUCACCCAGAGUCCUGGCUGGGUGACCAGCCAAAACCUCACACGGGUGGGAGGAAGCAGAGAACCGAGGAUCUUUUCAAGGACAGCAGCUCUCUCUGUGUGUCUUUGAUUUGGACCAACACUUGUUUUCCUGGGCAUGUUAACAGCUGUGUGAAUCAGAAAUCCAACAGGUACCUAAAAUUGGCUUCUAGAGACAGGCUGCCUCAUCAUUCCUGCAGCCCCAUACAUCUGUUGGUUUUUCUAAGGCUGGGAUCUGAAUUGUUCCAUAAACCUGGAUUGUUGCCCUGAAAAGGAUGAGAGGAAUGAUAUGGAUGAAUCAUGUAAAGUUAUUCAGUAUAUCAUUUUGCAGUGCUGCUUCAUUCUGCCUGAUCCUUGGAGGGUCUGGAUUAUUUAUUAAUUUUUGUGAAAGUUGUUUUGAAUAGGGCUGUUUGGCCGAAUACUUGUUAAGUUGCCCUGAUCUCUUAGUAGCCAUAAAUCUUGUAAAUAAAAUAAAAUAAAGAGGCACAUGUUUGUUCUCUCACUAUAAAAAGAAAUGUCUCUUCCACUGAGUUACAGAUUGUACAGCAGGAAGAGUGAAUUCCUAACAUGAGCAAAGCCAAUACUCAGAAAACAGGAGAAUUCCAGACAGAAAACAAUCAGGGCCAGCUAACACCUCCUAACAAAGGAUUCUUCCAGGCAAUAAGCAACCAGUCCUUGAAGCUGCAAGGCCAUUAAAUGCUAAUCCAGGUGGCCAAUUGCUACAUUAACACUUGCCUCAAACAGACAAGAGUUCUUUCUCCCACCCUGGACUUUCCACAGAUAUAUAAAGUCCUCUUGUCUAGUUUUCAACAGACCACACAACCUCUGAGGAUGCCUGCCUUAGAUGCAGGUGAAAUGUCAGAAGACAAUGCUUCUGGAACAUGGUCCUACAG